GACAGAGGGGGCAAGCGUUGUUCGGAAUUACUGGGCGUAAAGGGCGCGUAGGCGGCCUGCUAAGUCGAACGUGAAAUCCCCGGGCUCAACCCGGGAACUGCGUCCGAUACUGGUUGGCUUGAAUUCGGGAGAGGGAUGCGGAAUUCCAGGUGUAGCGGUGAAAUGCGUAGAUAUCUGGAGGAACACCGGUGGCGAAGGCGGCAUCCUGGACCGAUAUUGACGCUGAUGCGCGAAAGCCAGGGGAGCAAACGGG
rnacentral:rRNA from 1 species